CGUUAAAACCGUGCGCGCAAACAUUGUGUCUGGUCUGGAAUUCAAUUAAUCAAUUUUCGAAUUUGCUUAAAGUGAGUCAGCCCUUAUAGUUAUGGUGUCCUAUCCAAAUUUUUCCGUGGAACUCUCAUGCUCAAGCCUCCAUAGCCCCACUUGUGACGAUGACUCAGUUCCAGUCCCACAAAAAGGAAAGGCGACUCGACAUUUUGAUGACGUGCAGGUGUUGCCCAUUGAGGGGUUUUGGUGACAAGGAGUCACUGAACGAAACGCUAAACCAAAUGAAAAAAAAAUAAUAUUAAAAAAUGUAAUGCUAGAUACGACAUGAAGCUUUUGCUUUCGCAGAAAAUAACGUGAAUUUGUUUACAGCCAACGAUCCUUUAUAGAUCCGAGCCGAGUCCUUUCCGUCUACAUUCGGUGUGAAGAGCAUAACCCAAAUUUCAACACAUUUUACUGCUUAGCAACGAAAACAAAGCGAGUGUCAAAACAUUGUUUUACUUGCGCAUACUUUAUUGUGGCAGAAACGCGUUGGUUAUGUAACAGGAUUUUCUUCUCCGACCGCAGGUGCAAGGAUUAUGUGUUUGAAACUUAGAUAAGUUUGCAGUAGAAUAUUAAAAAAAAAUGCCGACUGUCCUUCAAUGGCUUCAAACGGUUCGAAAUGGAAGAUUUAUUCAUUCACCGAAGAAACGAGUCAAAUGACUCAAAUGUCAAAUGUGGUAUUUUUUAAGUGACUAAAAUUUAAGCCAUUAUCAUUUAUGAUUUGAUAUUUAUUUUGAUAUGGGUUUUUGUAGACCCAUCCCUAGCAAAGUCAACCUGCAGAAAGAAAAAGGCCAGUUUCUAUGGCCUUGACGCUCGAAGGUCACGGAGAUCAUUACGUAAAACGUGUCAUGCAGUAGUGUAGAGGUUGGGUGAGAACGACACGUGUUGCUUCAUUAUCAAAAAGGUCCAAUAGUCGCAAGACUUAGGAGGUGAGGGUGAGAAAAAAAUCGUAUAAAAGGAGAGAGAAAAGGUGAUUGAUACCAGUCGAGUGAACAUCUCCGACACGGCAACAACUCCAUUCUUCGUCGUAAUUUCAGUUCGCAAUCAUGGGUUAAUGUUCAUUUUUAUUUCUAGUCGUAAAUCAAUUCUAUCUUGUUUUCAGUUGUUGACAUGGCUAGUUAAUAAUUUUCAAAUUGUGUAUUGUAUAGUUAAUUAUGGCGUUGUCUUGCUGCCGGGUGUUGUAUCGUUGAUGUCGACUACGAGGACUGCAUAAAAGGAAAGAGAAAAGGCGACAGAAGUCAAUCAAGUGUGCAUCUCCGACCCGGCAAUAACUUCAUUCUUCGUCGUAUUUCCAGGUCGUAAUCACGGUUAACUAUGGCGUCAUGCAGCUAUUGGUUGUUUCGUCGAUAUCUGGGUGGACCACUGGUGUGCUGAUGCCCCUGGGUAUGGCGGAUACCAAACCGCAACGCCGCCGCCUUACUACACAACAACAUACGCAACGACCAGUUACUACACCGAGAACGCACAGUUAGGUUUACAGUUACACCGCCAAGGGUCCAGGUGCACCACAACUUAUGCUGCUCUGAGCUACUACACCGCAGCUUCGAAGUAUUUUUCUUCCCCAAUCUACACUACCGAAGCGCAUGUGCACACCUCCGAGGCUCGCAAGUACUACACCAACCAAGGCACCUGAGAUUACACAGCUACGUAUGCUGUCCCAAGUACUACACCAAGGCUCCAAAGUACUACAGCACUAAGGCACCGGACUACUACACGACUAUACAUGCUGCUCAACCUACGACACCGAGGCUCCAGCUUAUUACACCACCAAAGGGGUCGAACACAGUGGCGCCCAAGUACGAUGGAAAUCAGUCGGGUGAGCUUCUCCACCACCCAACACGGCAGCCCCGAAGUUUCGAAUAAACUUCGUUUCAAACAGUGGUACGGCGAAGAGCGAAGUCUCUUUUUCGAACAAGACGAAUUCUAUUGCAAUCCCUUCAAGCUAACGGUGGCGUUGCAGUCGUACAAUGACACCGCGUCGUUAAACUUGACAUUAUUGGUCGGAAAGCCGAACCUCAUGAUGGCCGUGCCAUCACCUACGACAAGUGCCUUGUAGGUGGUAAACGAAAAUCUUUGCCAGUCCUUGAGCGGUGUCCCUAAAGAUGUCCACGAGCAAUUGACGCUGUUCCACAACAUCUAUGGUCCAGUCCUCCCUAACUAUUUGAGACCAUGAACUUCCGAGAAGGUGGAAGCGGAAGACGUUAAUGAGUUGCCCAAAGCUAAUGUUAGGGGUGUAAGUUUGGAAGACGACAAGGUCGCAUUGACCUUAAACGAUGGUCAAAAGAUUUAAACUGACCAUGUCGUCGCUGCUGUCGGUUUGGACGUAAACACGGAUUUGGCUGUCGCUUCUGGAUUGAAAAUAGAUUCCAAUUUUGGUGGCUAUCGAGUCAAUGCUGAGCUUGAAGCACUACCAAAUGUCCGGUUGGCUGGAGAUGAUGCGUUUUUUUUUUGUGAUAGCAAAUUGGGUCGUCAUCGUAUGAAUCAUCACCACCGUGCUGUUGUGUCAGGGCGAUUGGCUGGAGAGAAGAAUACUGGCAACGAAACAUGGAUGAACAACUGAUGCAGUGCACUGUCACCAAGUGCAUUCUUCGUCGUAUUAUUAGUACGCAAUCGGUCAACUAUGAUGUCGUGCUGCUGUUGGUUGUUGUACCGUUGAUGACUGGGUUAACCUGGUGUACUCAUGUCUCCUGGGUAUGGCGGAUACCGAAACACAACGCCGCCGCCUUACUACACAAUAACAGCAUACAUACCAGUUACUAGACCGCCAAGGCACCAGAGUAUUACACCACACCUUAUAAUGCUCCGAGCUACUACACCGAAGCCCUAAAGUUUAACUCUGCCCCGAGUUACAUCAACGAAGAAGUCAAGUACUACACCGUACCUACACCGUUGGUACUGAUGUUGUGUUACCGAAGUUGCAUCAUAUUUUGUUAAAUUGUCAUCGUGGCUAUGGCAGUUUACCGUUUAUAAGUUCAGAAGCAACAAAAACAAAUAUGGGAUGUUUAUGUCAAACAAAUAAUAAACAAGUUUUGGGGGUUGGGAAGGAAAAGUGGUGGAUGUUGGAGGAUAUUUCAAGUUUGGAUAAAUAUUCAAUUAAUCUAUAACCCUACAUACGUAUCCCUACCAAUUAACCUCCAAACCCCACAAACAUAUGCCUUUUCUUCAAACCCCGAAAACAUACACCUACCAUACCAACCCUUAAAUCUAUACCCUCAACCCUAUAAACCAAUGUUAAACCUUAACCAUGUAACAUCUAUAAUAAAUAAAAAAAUACACUACAUGAAAUAA
rnacentral:lncRNA from 1 species